GGGUUCCGAAAAGGCAUGGAUCUUUAUUUCAAAAGACAUGAUGGACAAGCAGUAACUUGUGAAGAGUUCUUUGAUGCUAUGCGAGAUGCAAAUGAUGCAGACUUCUCGAAUUUCUUGUUAUGGUACUCCCAAGCAGGAACACCUAUUGUUAAAGUCACCAGUUCGUAUGAUGCCAAUGCCCACACAUUUUCUCUGAAGUUCAGCCAAGAAGUACCACCCACCCCUGGCCAACCCAUCAAAGAGCCCAUGUUUAUACCUGUUGCUGUCGGGCUCCUUGGCUCGAAUGGGAAGGACCUACCUCUCUCUGCUGUUUAUCAUGAUGGUUUGUUGAAGACCGUUGAAAUUGGUGAUCAACCUGUUGCCACAACCAUCCUUAAAGUAACCAAGAAGGAAGAAGAAUUUGUGUUCACUGGUAUUAAUGAGCGACCAAUCCCUUCCCUUCUGCGAGGGUUCAGCGCUCCUAUUCGUCUUGAGUCCGAUCUUACAGACAGUGACCUAUUUUUCCUACUUGCAAACGAUUCUGAUGAAUAUAACCGAUGGGAGUCAGGUCAAGUCUUAGCAAGGAAGUUGAUGCUCGGUCUUAUAGCUGAUUAUCAGCAAAACAAACCAUUGGCUCUGGAUCUGAAGUUUGUUGAGGGGCUCAGGAGCAUUCUGUCUGACUCAAAAUUGGACCAGGAAUUUAUUGCUUUGGCAAUCGCACUCCCUCGUGAAGGAGAGAUUAUGGACUUGAUGAAAGUUGCAGAUCCUGAUGCUGUUUAUUCUGUCCGUAGUUUCAUCAGAAAGGAACUUGCUUUACG
rnacentral:misc_RNA from 1 species